UACGUAGGGCGCGAGCGUUGUCCGGAAUUAUUGGGCGUAAAGAGCUCGUAGGCGGUUUGUCGCGUCUGCUGUGAAAACGCGAGGCUCAACCUCGCGCCUGCAGUGGGUACGGGCAGACUAGAGUGCGGUAGGGGAGAUUGGAAUUCCUGGUGUAGCGGUGGAAUGCGCAGAUAUCAGGAGGAACACCGAUGGCGAAGGCAGAUCUCUGGGCCGUAACUGACGCUGAGGAGCGAAAGCGUGGGGAGCAAACAGG
rnacentral:rRNA from 1 species